AUUGAACGCUGGCGGCAUGCCUUACACAUGCAAGUCGAACGGCAGCACGGGUGCUUGCCCCUGGUGGCGAGUGGCGAACGGGUGAGUAAUACAUCGGAACAUGUCCUGUAGUGGGGGAUAGCCCGGCGAAAGCCGGAUUAAUACCGCAUACGAUCCACGGAUGAAAGCGGGGGACCUUCGGGCCUCGCGCUAUAGGGUUGGCCGAUGGCUGAUUAGCUAGUUGGUGGGGUAAAGGCCUACCAAGGCGACGAUCAGUAGCUGGUCUGAGAGGACGACCAGCCACACUGGGACUGAGACACGGCCCAGACUCCUACGGGAGGCAGCAGUGGGGAAUUUUGGACAAUGGGCGAAAGCCUGAUCCAGCAAUGCCGCGUGUGUGAAGAAGGCCUUCGGGUUGUAAAGCACUUUUGCCCGGAAAGAAAUCCUUGACUCUAAUACAGUCGGGGGAUGACGGUACCGGAAGAAUAAGCACCGGCUAACUACGUG
rnacentral:rRNA from 1 species